rfam:Erinaceus europaeus unplaced genomic scaffold scaffold00258, whole genome shotgun sequence
AUUGCUUCUUGGCCUUUUGUCUAAGAUCAAGUGUAGUAUCUGGUCUUACCAGUUCAAUAUCUGAUAUGUCCUCUUUCUGAGAACAAUAUAUUAAAUGGAUUUUUGAAGCAGGGAGUUGGAAUAGGGGCUUUCUCUAUUCGCUCCAUGCAUCGACCUGAUACUGCAGUACUUUCAGGAAUGGUGCACCAAAA